CAAUAGCGUAUAUUAAAGUUGUUGCGGUAAAAAAGCUCGUAGUUGGAUUUCUGUUGAGAGCGACCGGUCCAUACCUUGUAUGCGUAUCUGGCUUGCUCUCGGCAUCCUCUCGAUAGACGUUACUGCGCUUGAUUGCGUGGUGCGGAUCUCGGGACUUUUACUUUGAGGAAAUUAGAGUGUUCACGGCAGGCUUUCGCCAGAAUACAUUAGCAUGGAAUAAUACUAUAGGAUCUUGGUUCUAUUUUGUUGGUUUCUAGAAUUGAGAUAAUGAUUAAUAGGGACAAUUGGGGGCAUUCGUAUCAACACGUCAGAGGUGGAAUUCUUGGAUUGUGUUGCGACGAACUACUGCGAAAGCAUUUGCCAAGGAUGUUUUCAUUGA
rnacentral:rRNA from 1 species